GCAUUUCGCCGGCACAACGCAACAAGAAAUGUGCAUUUCGCCGGCAGAACGCGAAGCAAGUAUUCAAAACGCUACCGUGAACAACAUGUGGAUAUAAAGGUUUUGACUGUGGGAGCUUCGGUGUGGGAGUUAUAGCCCAAAACGCGUUUUCAGAACAUUCCAUUGGCCAAAUAGGAGAUAGACAAUGUCGUUGUUUUUUGGCGCCGCCCUGUGGCGAAAUUUUUAAUUUUCCAAAGACAAUUUUCCUUUGCCAAAUAACUCCCGCCCACAUUAAUAAUUCUUGGCCAUAUUUUCUAUAUAGAUUCGGG
ensembl:lncRNA